UGCGUAGGCGGAUCAAUAAGUCAGUGGUGAAAUCUCUCGGCUCAACCGGGAAACUGCCAUUGAUACUGUUGAUCUUGAGUUCGGUUGAGGUAGGCGGAAUGUGUAAUGUAGCGGUGAAAUGCUUAGAUAUUACACAGAACACCAAUUGCGUAGGCAGCUUACUAGACCGAAACUGACGCUGAGGCACGAAAGCGUGGGUAGCGAACAGGAUUAGAUACCCUGGUAGUCC
rnacentral:rRNA from 1 species